rnacentral:rRNA from 1 species
AUUGAACGCUGGCGGCAGGCCUAACACAUGCAAGUCGAGCCGGUAGAGAGAAGCUUGCUUCUCUUGAGAGCGGCGGACGGGUGAGUAAUGCCUAGGAAUCUGCCUGGUAGUGGGGGAUAACGUUCGGAAACGGACGCUAAUACCGCAUACGUCCUACGGGAGAAAGCAGGGGACCCUHHCGGGCCUUGCGCUAUCAGAUGAGCCUAGGUCGGAUUAGCUAGUUGGUGAGGUAAUGGCUCACCAAGGCGACGAUCCGUAACUGGUCUGAGAGGAUGAUCAGUCACACUGGAACUGAGACACGGUCCAGACUCCUACGGGAGGCAGCAGUGGGGAAUAUUGGACAAUGGGCGAAAGCCUGUAUCCAGCCAUGCCGCGUGUGUGAAAGAAGGUCUUCGGAUUGUAAAGCACUUUAAGUUGGGAGGAAGGGCAGUUACCUAAUACGUGAUUGUUUUGACGUUACCGACAGAAUAAGCACCGGCUAACUCUGUGC